rnacentral:rRNA from 1 species
CCUACGGGAGACAGCAGUGGGGAAUAUUGCACAAUGGGGGAAACCCUGAUGCAGCGACGCCGCGUGAGUGAAGAAGUAAUUCGUUACGUAAAGCUCUAUCAGCAGGGAAGAAACACUCACUUUACGGGCAGCAGGCGGUACCUAAGUAAGUAGCCGCAGCUAACUACGUUCCAGCAGACGCGGUAAUACGUAGGGGGCAAGCGUUAUCCGGAUUUACUGGGUGUAAAGGGAGCGUAGACGGUUAGCCAAGUCUGGAGUGAAAUGCCGGAGCUUAACUGCGGAACUGCUCUGGAAACUGGCGAACUAGAGUGCGGGAGGGGUAAGCGGAAUUCCUAGUGUAGCGGUGAAAUGCGUAGAUAUUAGGAGGAACACCAGUGGCGAAGGCGGCUUACUGGACCGUAACUGACGUUGAGGCUCGAAAGCGUGGGGAGCAAACAGGAUUAGAUACCCCUGUAGUC